CGUACACCAAGAUAGAAACAGAGAGAGGCGAUGAGUUCACGGAGAAAGAAGCAGAGCAAGAGAGGCGACAAAAUUAAAAAGUUUCAAGAAACAAUUUUGCAGACCCAAAACCUUGGCAGAACGGUAAACAGAGAAGGCACGAAGUGGGGACUGGGGAGAGAAGCAAUGAAAUCGGGAGAGAGGCCAUUGAAAUCGAGAGAGAGGCGAUGAAUACACGGAGAAAGAAACAGAAAAAGAGAGAGGCGAUGAAGACACAGAGAAAGAAACAGAGAAAGAGAGAGGCGAUUCUGGGACACGGAGAUAGAAGAGAACGCCUCUCUGUUUCUCUCACUAAGAUCAGAGUAAAAGUCCCCUCUGCCCACAAACAACGCCUCCAACGGUUCUAUUCUUUCUCUAAUUUUUUUUAGAUUAAAGCCCAAAACAAACUAUUUGCUUCUCUUCAGAGUUAAGUGCUUUGCUUGAUAAAAAUCCGCGAGGGAGAAGCCAUUAUAGCACAAAUCCGUAAUUGGUUAACUCAGAAUGGUGUCUCCAUUACAUGGGGAGCAACAAAUUAUAUGGUUUCCCCAUUAUUUGAAGAUGAAAAUCUCCUGCGGUGGAGCUUAAUGCUCCAUAAAACAUUGAAAGAGAAUCACAAGCAGCAUAUCCAAUUAGUGCUUCCUAAGUCCAACAUGUUCUUUUGAUUUUUUUUAGUUCUUAGUGCUGUCCUUAUUUAACUUCAAGUGAAUUGGUGCUUCCUUUUUGUUUUAUUGAAGUCAUUUGCAAUUUUGGAGUUGAGGAUAAAUGUUAUAAUGAGUCAUUUCCAUUUUCAUGAAACUUAUGCCAUUUUGGGUAUUUGGGCUAGGUUGGUUUUGGUUAUCUUUCUAUUAUUGAUGAGGCCGAGGGCAACGGCUAUACAAUAUGACGCUUAAAUUUAUUUGGUUAAAUAACUCACUUUUCCCUCUUUUAUGAAUUACCUUCAAUGAGUUGGGGAAAGGGUAUUUCUAAAUUUAAGCUAAGUAUAUGGAUGGAGUAUCUAAUGUAGAAAAUAUUUGUGUACAAGUCCUUGGAUUAAUUUACAAAAAAGUUACUUUGUA